rfam:TPA: Bos taurus chromosome 2, whole genome shotgun sequence.
UCCCUGACAGUCCAGUGGUUAAGACUCGGCACUUUCAUUGCCAUGGCCCAAGUUCAAUCCCUGGUCAGGCAA